rnacentral:rRNA from 1 species
UACAACCUGCCCUUCAGAGGGGGAUAACAACGGGAAACCGUUGCUAAUACCGCGUACGAUUCAUAGGCGGCAUCGCUUGUGAAUGAAAGGUGGCCUCUAUGUAUAAGCUAUCGCUGAAGGAGGGGAUUGCGUCUGAUUAGCUAGUUGGAGGGGUAACGGCCCACCAAGGCAAUGAUCAGUAGCCGGUCUGAGAGGAUGAACGGCCACAUUGGGACUGAGACACGGCCCAA